rnacentral:lncRNA from 1 species
CUCUGCCAUGUCAGGUUACAAGAAGCCUGCAACUCAGAAGAGGGCCCUCACCCAACUGUACUGGCACCUUGAUCUUGGACUUCCAGCCUCCAGGACUAUGCUGAGCCAUACUUACAUCCCUGGAAUAAAUCCCACUUGAUCAUGAGAAGAAAGAGAAGGCCUUCUGGGAGGUUGCAGUCAGGAGUGGCCAAUCCCCAGCAGCCGUUGCAGAUUGUCCAGAAUUGUUGUUUGGUGGAAUAAACAGAAGAGAAAAAAGCUGAAGAAGGGGAUUGCCAGACGCCAAAAGAUGCAGAAAAAGCACUUGACGAAAUUCAACAUCCAUUCCUGUUAAAAAUUCACCCAAAGUAAGAACAGAAGGGAAUUUCCUCAAAUGGAUGAAAAGCAUCUACAAAAAACUAACAGCUAACAUCAUAUUUAAUAGUCAAGUCCACAUGUUUACUCCUCAAGAUCAGAAAAGAGACAAGGGUGUCUGCCCUCAUCGCUUCUAUUAAGCAUUGUACUGGAGGUACGAGCCAGAGCAAUCAGGCAAGAUAAGGAAAUAAAACGCAUCCAGAUUGGAAAGAAGAAGAAAUAAAAUUGCUAUUAUUCUCAGAUGACAUGAUCAUCUAUACAGAAAUCAUACAGAACUACAAAAAUGCUACUGGAAUUAAUGCUAUUUCUGCAACAUUACAGAUUACAAGCUCAAUACACAGAAAACAACUGUAUCUCUAGAUAUUGGCCACAUGCAAUUAGAAAG